rnacentral:rRNA from 1 species
GACAGAGGCCUCAAGCGUUAGGCGGAAUCACUGGGCUUAAAGCGUGUGUAGGCGGAUCGUUAAGUGUCUUGUGAAAUCCCACGGCUCACCCGUGGAACUGCUGGGCAUACUGGCGAUCUUGGGCCAACUAGGGGCAGCCGGAACAAGCGGUGGAGCGGUGAAAUGCGUAGAUAUCGCUUGGAACGCCGAAGGUGAAAACAGGCUGCUGGGGUUGCGCCGACGCUGAGACACGAAAGCCAGGGGAGCGAACGGG